GGAGGUCGUUUUGAAGGGUGGUGUGUAAGCCCAACAUGGAUUGGGAAACCUAAAGCACUUCAUAGAUCGCC
rnacentral:other from 1 species